rnacentral:rRNA from 1 species
CGUGUCGUGAGAUGUUGGGUUAAGUCCCGCAACGAGCGCAACCCUCACCCCUAGUUGCCACCGGGUAAAGCCGAGCACUCGAGGGGAACUGCCAGCGUCAAGCUGGAGGAAGGCGGGGAUGACGUCAAGUCAUCAUGCCCCUUACGUCCUGGGCUACACACGUGCUACAAUGGCCGGUACAAAGGGAUGCCACACCGCGAGGUAGAGCUAAACCCAAAAAGCCGGUCUAAGUUCAGAUUGGAGUCUGCAACUCGACUCUAUGAAGGAGGAAUCGCUAGUAAUCGC